rnacentral:lncRNA from 1 species
UACCUUUACGGAUUGGGCUCACAACUUAGCCCAUUGUGCCACUAUACUUAUGAAAACAUUAUGGCAGUCCUACCAAUAGUUUAAAACAAAAUUAAAGCUUAACUUAUUACAACUUUUCCCAUCAGAAUACAAUUUUCUUAAGAAAAUCAGAAUUAUUACAUGGUAAUCCUAUUAAAUACAUAAAAUACUAAUCUAAACACUAAACUAUUACAAUCCCCAUAUGACCAAUGAACACUGCCUCUCUUGGACAUUGCUUAUCCAUCAAAGCAGUGCCUCUCAUACGAACAAUACUGGAUUUCAGUACGCUUGAACGGUAGAGUUUUGAGUUUUUUAGCCUUUGGACCUGCUGAUUUGGCCAACUAGUGACCAAAUCUGCAGGUAAACAGCUUACAGCUAGAACAAACAAAGAAAGAAAAGGUUUUGAGUAAAGAGGAGAUUGUCAGAUAGAAGGAAGGGGAGAUAAAGGAAACAUAACCACACACUUCAUUAAUUACCCAAACCUCAAACAUGGGGAUCUAAUCAUAUCAUAUGACCAAUGCAACAGGAAAUCAACAUAUAUAUCAACAACCAAUGCUAGACCCGUACAAGAAAAUCAAUACUCAUAAUAUAAAAACCCAAGGGAACAGGGAUUCACAUAUUUUUAAAAGAACUUCAACACUAUUGUAACUUCAGCAUACAAGUCACAGCAGGAAACAUACAAAUAUACAAACAUUGGCAAAGCAAAGACCAACUUGUAUUCAUCUUAAGUUCUAAUUACAAAUACUUAAACAUGGAGGAAACAUAUGUACCUUGAAACAUCGAUUGGGACAACAGAUAAAAAUGAAAGAACAACUGUUGGAGAACUGCAAAGGCACAGAAAAACAACAGCAGCAAACAACACAGCUACAACUGUCCCCCAAAUGAAUCAAAAUUUCAAACCCAAAAAACCAGCAAACUGAACCCAGGAAUCCCAGCUAAAUAGACCAAGAAAGCUUUCUAUUUCAAACCAUGUUUUUAACUUGUAAAGAAUCAGAAAAUGAGAGGUUUUGAAGUUUUUUUUUAAGAUUUCUGGAAUCUGAACUUUUCAGAAAGAAAAUAGAACUUUUGUGCAGAGAAUAAGGCUGAAUCUGUGUAAUCUCAGAAUGAGAGAACCUACCUAUAUAUAUAGGCUUCGUAGGGAGGGUAUAUCUUGGGUAUAUUCCUUAUCCUAAACUUCUGAAAAUAGUACAAUACAGAUGUCAUUCCUAUCCUAAUUCAGCAUCUUUUGUAACAGCUAGGACAACUAUACAUUUCUGAUUUUUAGCCUAAGUGAAAAUCCAAUUUUACCCUUUAAGUUACUACCUGUUUCAUCUUUACCUAAAAUAUUUUAGUUCAAAUAAGUCCCUAAAGAUUCUAUUGGUUUUCAAACCAAGCCAAACAAAAUCAGAAAGUAUCAAGAAACCAAAUUAUCAUGCUGAAUCAAAAACAUGCUGAUUUAAUUCAAACUUAAAACUAACCAAUUGAUCAAUAAAAACUGCUUAUCUAAUUAACCAUGAAUAAUACUUGACAGAAACAGAGUGAAUAAAUCAUCAAAACCUAAUUUAAUACUUGAACCUAACAUGAAAGAAUAUGGAAACCUAAUUAAUCUAACUCAUGAGAUUCAAGCAUGCUUUCAUCAAUUAAACACCAAACGGAAACAUGGAGAAGAAAAGAGCAAUCAGGUAGUUUAUACCUCUAACAUUAACCCUAAUUAUUCUAAAUCUAAUGCAAUCAAAAUUAAACUGAAAUGUUCAACAUGCUUCAAUUGACACAUAAAACCAAUUCCUAAUAAACUCUAGAUUAACAUGAAAUUAAACCAAAUUAAAAGCUAAUUAAACGAUGUAUUCAUACUAAGCUAUGAUAAAAAAGAUAACUGAAACGACUAAUUAUUCUAUAAGCUAGAUUAAUCCUGAGCUAAACUAAAUCAGCAAACCAAAUGAAACUUGAACAAACAAAUUGAAGUGAUUCCAAAACCAAAAUGAACAAACUAAUGCACCAUAGAACAAAAUUACUAACUAAACACAUCCAAAGAACAAUCAGAUUUACAAAACUGAAAAUCAAACUAUGAAGAACACUAACUCGACAUUUGAAAAACAAAAAAGGAAGGAAGAAAGAAGAAAAUAAAUAGAGAGGUAAAAUGAUUGAUGCCUUACCAUUGGGACUGGAAAAACAAACAACAGAAGCUUAUGAGGUCCGUCUUCGCCUUGACCAACAAAGGUCUUUUACUUCAAGGGAUCCGGCCCUGCAUGGCCUUGACUGGAUCUCCUUGAAAGAAAAGACUUCUGGAAGCCUAAUCUUUGAAGGAAAAGAAAAGCAAAGAAGCUUUGAAAGUUGAAGCAACACCUGGUGCCUUUCUUUGAACUAGACAGACUUGGAAUUGGAUUUGAAAUUGUGGAGCUUUGCGGGGUUAUUUGAAAAAAUCAGUGAGGCAUUAAGGGUGAAGGGAGUGAGGGGACAGUCCGGUGAAGUUUUGGGGUUGAUUUAGGGAGAUUACAGUUUAUGGUAUCGAAAUCUAGAUCUAAAAUUCGAAAGGUUUAACAGGGAUUUGGGGAGAUUAGUUAGGAGAUUCAUAAAGAGGAGGGAAAGGGGAGUCUGGGGUGUUAAUUUGGUAAAUAUUGGAAUACCGGAACCGUCGUGAGGCGAAUUUCGGUGGCUGUUGGCGGCGGAGGCGACGAAAGAACCUGGGACGACUAGAGUUUUCUUUAGGUUUAGGUUAGAGACGAAUGAG